GACGAACCGAGCGAACGUUGUUCGGAAUCACUGGGCUUAAAGGGCGCGUAGGCGGGCCGACGCGUCCGGGGUGAAAUCCUCCCGCUCAACGGGAGAACGGCCUCGGAUACGGGCGGCCUGGAGGGGGGUAGGGGCGUGCGGAACUGUGGGUGGAGCGGUGAAAUGCGUUGAUAUCCACAGGAACUCCGGUGGCGAAGGCGGCACGCUGGACCCCACCUGACGCUGAGGCGCGAAAGCCAGGGGAGCAAACGGG
rnacentral:rRNA from 1 species